rnacentral:lncRNA from 1 species
GUGCUUUACUGCCAGACAUCAGAUGGAAUUACUCCUUGUUUUGACAAAGCAAGGAUGAAUGAAGAAUUAGCUUAAAAAUGCAAGAUUUAUACUUCCCAUGAACUAAGAGAUAGAACAUCUUCAAGCAAGCAGCAACAUGAAGAAUAAUAAAGGGCCUGUACACUCAGCAAGAGUAUUUACACGCUAAAUUGAUACAUGAAUCUACAAGG